GACAUCGACCAGGUGACGUUCGUCGACAGCGAGCGCGUCAGCUCCGACCAGGUGGCGUUGCCGCCGCGCCAGCGCCGCCGACGGCGACGGCGCUACCGACGGCAGAUCGCGGCGCGCGUGCCGCUGCUGAACGCCUGCCAGCCGGGCGCGCGGCGAGACGUCAACUUCAAGUGCCGCGACAAGGUGCUGCCGGAGUCGACGGGCGCGGCGCCGCGCAGUCCCGUGUCGCCGAGGGGCGCGCCCACAUGCCCGCCGGGUCAAAAGCUGGAUCCUCUGGGGAGGUGCAAGCAGGCAUCUGGCUCCGGCCUGGGCAAGUAAGCUGACCCGGAGUUCACCGUCACGCGCUGCCAGAGCAAAUCAGCGCACGCGGACAAAACGCCGAGAGCUUCACGGAAGCACGGGCCGACGCCCGCGAUACGCCGGGGAAUCGUGAUUGACCAGACGGAGAACAUGCGUCGGGCACUCUUGAGAGUGAGCCAACGUGGACCACACGCUGGGCACUCCACGGGCAGUGAGCCGACGUGGACUGGACCUUGGGCACCGCUGGUAGAGUGAGUCAACGUGAACUGCGCGCUGGGCACUCGCUCAGCAAUCUUAGUGAAGUGGAUAGUGCGCGAACUAUUGAUUACCGAGACGGGCCACAGGUGUCGGGACAACGCCCACCAGCAGCGGUCAGAGGACGCGCCAUCGCGAUCCUGCCGAGUGCGUGGCGUACCUAGCAGGGUAUUGAGUGACGGCACCUCUCGCGCCUGGCCAGUUGGAUUAGCCGUGUGUGUUGUGGUUGACGCCCAGCUGCCGCCGCCGUGGGUGGCGCCAGUCUGUGAGCGACUCUGCCGCCGCCGUGGGCAGCCCCAGCUUGUGAGCCGAGUCUGCCGCCGCCGUGGGCAGCCCCAGCUUGUGAGCCCGAGUCUGCCGCCCGCCGUGGGCAGCCCCAGCUAGUGAGGCCGAGUCUGCCGCCGCCGUGGGCAGCCCCAGCUUGUGAGCCGAGUCUGCCGCCGCCGUGGGCAGCCCCAGCU